rnacentral:lncRNA from 1 species
AGAGAAUCAGUGAUAUGUGUGGCAACAUCAACUGUCUUUACAUAAUUGUAAUUGGCAUCACCAAAAGAAUUGAGAUGAAGAAGAAAGAAGUGAUUAAUUUAUGGCUGAGAGUUUUCCAAGAGAUAUAGAUAAUUAUCUGCUAUAGUCUAUAUCUAGAAGUACACUCAAAGCAUCAUGGGCUCUUAGGUUUUGUCUUUUCAUAUAAAAAUACUAUCAUAGAGCACAUUUUUGGAUAACCGCCAAAGAUCGGAGAGAAUCUAAAUUUCAUUCAACAGAAAUCUGCUUCGCUAAAUGUAUGGGGAUCGAUCUCGGUCCUUGCGUUCCAUAGCAGGUGGUGAAACCACUGAGCUAAAAAAAUCCCGGCCACAUCAAGGAAUUUAAAAGGAAGAUGAACUUAACUUGAGAUGGCUUUACAAAUGAGAUAUGAAGAAAAAAAGGACUUUGGAACUGUACGGGGUAUUGAUUUGAAGAGACAAGAAGGAAAUGAAUAAAU